UACGUAGGGCGCAAGCGUUAUCCGGAAUUAUUGGGCGUAAAGAGCUCGUAGGCGGUUUGUCGCGGUCUGCCGUGAAAGUCCGGGGCUCAACUCCGGAUCUGCGGUGGGUACGGGCAGACUAGAGUGAUGUAGGGGAGACUGGAAUUCCUGGUGUAGCGGUGAAAUGACGCAGAUAUCAGGAGGAACACCGAUGGCGAAGGCAGGUCUCUGGGCAUUAACUGACGCUGGAGGAGCGAAAGCUGGGGAGCGAACAGG
rnacentral:rRNA from 1 species